ACAGCGCCCGUUCAAGCUCUGUUUCAGACAUGAAGGUUUUUUUUUUUCAGCAUUUUACACUGAUGAUCAUGUUCGUGUUUGCGUAUGGAGCGGCAAUACAUGGUCAAGAUGGGAUUAAAAAACACUUCUUAAAGAACAUUCAAGAAGAAGCCAAAAGUGUGCAUGUGAACUCUUCUGUGCUGGUGCCAAAGAUAUGGCCAAAUCACAAAAAUUGUGUGUUGAAAUUCUUCUGUUUGGCUGAGAAGGCUCUGAAGGACUUCAAAGGGCUAUCAAAACUCACCCGUGUUUUGACGCAAUACAACAACGAAACUGGGGACACCAAUUGCCACUUGCCCAUCAACGGCAGUAGGAUUACACUACAAAGGCUUCUGAAAGCUGUGGUGGAAUGUGCGAACCUAACCAUGAAUAAUUAAGCCUAAUAAAAAUGCCAAAGGACUGGCCUUAAAUACAUCAAAUACAUUCUAUUUAUUAUAAUAUUUAUAUGUUCAGCAGCUUUUGUAUUUAUAAAUAAAUAAAUCUAUUU